rnacentral:lncRNA from 1 species
CAGUGAUCCUCUGCUGAGAAAUCAGGCGGGUGGGAGACUGCCAUACAGCCUCCGUGCUACAGAGGAAUAGCCAACAUUUCGCUCCGAGACAGCUGUUUUCCAUUUCGGGAGUAUCAACACUGUGGCUUUGUUGAUUGUCUUUUCACCUCCAGGUUACUUCUCCUUGGGGAGUCCAGUGAUAAAGAUCAUUAAUAUGUUUCCUACAGUUUGGCCGGGAAGUGACUGACAGUGGAAAGAGGGAAAUAGCACAUCUGCAUGUGUGCCCAUCUCAGAGACACGAAGUGUGAAUAACAACUCACUUGGCUUCAUAACCAAGACCUGCUCUGAGGAAUUUCAUCUCUUCCUUG